AGAACGAACGCUGGCGGCAUGCCUAAUACAUGCAAGUCGAACGAACUCUUCGGAGUUAGUGGCGCACGGGUGCGUAACGCGUGGGAAUCUGCCCCUUGGUUCGGAAUAACAGUUGGAAACGACUGCUAAUACCGGAUGAUGACGAAAGUCCAAAGAUUUAUCGCCAAGGGAUGAGCCCGCGUAGGAUUAGCUAGUUGGUGAGGUAAAGGCUCACCAAGGCGACGAUCUGUAGCUGGUUUGAGAGGACGACCAGCCACACUGGGACUGAGACACGGCCCAGACUCCUACGGGAGGCAGCAGUGGGGAAUUUUGGACAAUGGGGGAAACCCUGAUCCAGCCAUCCCGCGUGUGCGAUGAAGGCCUCGGGUUGUAAGCACUUUGGCAGGGAAGAAACGGACGUCCGUUAACUACGGGCGUCACUGACGGUACCUGCAGAAUAAGCACCGGCUAACUACGUGCCAGCAGCCGC
rnacentral:rRNA from 1 species